rnacentral:rRNA from 1 species
UACGUAGGGUGCGAGCGUUAAUCGGAAUUACUGGGCGUAAAGCGUGCGCAGGCGGCCCGGUAAGACAGGUGUGAAAUCCCCGGGCUCAACCUGGGAACUGCGCUUGUGACUGCAUCGCUGGAGUGCGGUAGAGGGGGGUGGAAUUCCGGGUGUAGCAGUGAAAUGCGUAGAGAUCAGGAGGAACACCGAUGGCGAAGGCAGCCCCCUGGGCCUGUACUGACGCUCAUGCACGAAAGCGUGGGGAGCAAACAGG